rnacentral:rRNA from 1 species
CCCAGGAGCCACAAGUGGCAACCACCUUUAUUGGGCCUAAAGCGUCCGUAGCCGGUUCUGUAAAUUUUCUGUGAAAUCGUUAGGCUUAACUUAACGGCGUGCAGAAAAGACUGCAGUACUUGGGACCUGGAGGCGUCAGAGGUAUUCUGGGGGGAGCGGUAAAAUGCUAUAAUCCUCAGAGGACCACCUGUGGCGAAGGCGUCUGACGAGAACGGAUCCGACGGUGAGGGACGAAAGCUAGGGGAGCAAUCCGG